rnacentral:rRNA from 1 species
GUAGGUGGCAAGCGUUGUCCGGAUUUAUUGGGUUUAAAGGGUGCGUAGGCGGCUUUGUAAGUCAGUGGUGAAAUACUCCAGCUCAACUGGAGAGGUGCCAUUGAUACUGCAGAGCUAGAGUACUGAUGAGGUAGGCGGAAUGGACGGUGUAGCGGUGAAAUACUUAGAUAUCGUCCAGAACACCGAUAGCGAAGGCAGCUUACUAAAGAGUAACUGACGCUGAGGCACGAAAGUGUGGGGAUCAAACAGGAUUAGAUACCCUGGUAGUCCACACUGUAAACGUUGAUCACUAGAUGUUGGCGAUACACUGCCAGCGUUCCAGCAAAAGCGAUAAGUGAUCCACCUGGGGAGUACGCCCGCAAGGGUG